rnacentral:rRNA from 1 species
AUUGAACGCUGGCGGCAGGCUUAACACAUGCAAGUCGAGCGAGCGGCGGACGUGUGUGUAAUGCCUGGGAAUUGCCCAGUCGAGGGGGAUAACAGUGGAAAACGACCGCUAAUCCCGCAUACGCAUGGGUUGCCCAGGUGGGUUUAGCUAGUUGGUGGGGUAAUGGCUCACCAAGGCGACGCCCCCUAGCUGGUCUGAGAGUAGGACCAGCCAAACUGGAACUGAGACACGGUCCAGACUCCUACGGGAGGCAGCAGUGGGGAAUAUUGCACAAUGGGGGAAACCCUGAUGCAGCCAUGCCGCGUGUGUGAAGAAGGCCUUCGGGUUGUAAAGCACUUUCAGCGAGGAGGCGUUACUCGCAGAAGAAGCACCGGCUAACUCCGUGCCAGCAGCCGCGGUAAUUC